rnacentral:rRNA from 1 species
GACGAACGCUGGCGGCGUGCCUAAUACAUGCAAGUAGAACGCUGAAGGAGGAGCUUGCUUCUCUGGAUGAGUUGCGAACGGGUGAGUAACGCGUAGGUAACCUGCCUGGUAGCGGGGGAUAACUAUUGGAAACGAUAGCUAAUACCGCAUAAGAGUAGAUGUCGCAUGACAUUUGCUUAAAAGGUGCAAUUGCAUCACUACCAGAUGGACCUGCGUUGUAUUAGCUAGUUGGUGAGGUAACGGCUCACCAAGGCAACGAUACAUAGCCGACCUGAGAGGGUGAUCGGCCACACUGGGACUGAGACACGGCCCAGACUCCUACGGGAGGCAGCAGUAGGGAAUCUUCGGCAAUGGACGGAAGUCUGACAGAGCAACGCCGCGUGAGUGAAGAAGGUUUUCGGAUCGUAAAGCUCUGUUGUAAGAGAAGAACGAGUGUGAGAGUGGAAAGUUCACACUGUGACGGUAUCUUACCAGAAAGGGACGGCUAACUACGUG